GUUCUGGGAUAGUUCAGUCAGUAGAGCAUCAGACUCUUAAUCUCAGGGAUGUGGGUUCAAGCCCCACGUUGGACA